CCUACGGGAGGCUGCAGUGAGGAAUAUUGGUCAAUGGUCGGGAGACUGAACCAGCCAAGCCGCGUGAGGGAGGAAGGUACAGAGUAUCGUAAACCUCUUUUGUCAGGGAACAAAGGCGGGGACGUGUCCCCGGAUGAGUGUACCUGAAGAAAAAGCAUCGGCUAACUCCGUGCCAGCAGCCGCGGUAAUACGGAGGAAGCGAGCGUUAUCCGGAUUGAUUGGGUUUAAAGGGUGCGCAGGCGGUCUGGUAAGUCAGCGGCCAAAGCCCGGGGCUCCCCCCCGGCCCGCCGUUGAAACUGGCAGUCUCGAGUUGGAGAGAAGUAUGCGGAAUGCGCGGUGUAGCGGUGAAAUGCAUAGAUAUCGCGCAGAACUCCGAUUGCGAAGGCAGCAUGCCGGCUCCACACUGCCGCUGAGGCACGAAAGCGUGGGUAUCGAACAGGAUUAGCUACCCGAGUAGUC
rnacentral:rRNA from 1 species